UUUUCCUUCCUGAAAAUUGUCUGUGGAAGAUCUGCUGCUCAGGUGUGCAUGCCAAGUUUUCAUUAUGAAGGCUCCCUGCUGUGAAAAAAAGUUUAAAUUUGUGAGCACGAGCAGCCCUGACUUUGAAUCUUGCACCUCUGUUUCACUUCUGAGCACAAGAAUAGCGAAGCACACUCCUCCGUGAAUCUGUAUGGUUUGAUUCAUUCGUUUCAGCAAAGGGGAAAAUCUGUGGUGCAUUCAUGCAGGGAGGUCCCUACUAUCCCUGUCCACUGCUGCUGUUGCAUCAGAUGAUGUCCAGUGAGGGUAGCCGGAGGGCAUGAGGAUCACAUCCAGUUGCAUUGCUGCAGUUUCCCUUUAGUUUUUUUCUCUUCUGUGGAUAUCCUGGGUCUCAAUCCUCGGAGCCAGAAAUUUGUAUAAGUGACAGACAAAUCUAGAUUGUGUGCUGUACUUGGAAGUAAAUAUUUCUAUGUGAUAUUUGCACCUACAUGAGCAGAAAUCUCAAGACUAGUCAGAGCUAUAUACAAGGAAGAAAGCCGAAACAAUGUGAAUAAGUGGAAGGAAAGAAAUAUGUAGUUUUGGCCAUUUUCUUUUUAUACUGUUUACUAAAUGGAUUAUA
rnacentral:lncRNA from 1 species